ACCCCUUUGCCCCCCAAGUAUAAUUCCUGAAGAAUUAGCCUCUCAUUACACACCAUUAAAUCUCUUGUCACUCAAUCCUGUAGGUUGAUAGAAGCAUAGGAUAUGCUGUGGGGGCAAAAGCUCCCCUAAGAGUUAAACUUGGCACUUCUCUGCUUGGUGAUACAGACUCUGGAUGGGUGGUCCCUCUGGAUCUCCUUUCAAUAACAGGUUCACAGGAACCAAAUGGGAGCUAAAUGGAACACUACUAUCAUCUUCUCAGUCUCAGCAGAGAGCAAGGAACAAUUUGACAUAGAAAAUGAGGUCCUUCUGGUCAGACAUGCAACGGAAAAAUGGUAGAAGACAUAAAAUUAGCCUUUUGAAUGCCAUACCUCAUCUCUGGAUUUCAUUAGUGUUCUCCAGCAGUCUGAAGCUGCUUUUGACGACAGUUCUGGAAAAUGAAAAAGUCGUGGAAUGUGUGGGAACCAAGAGCCUGGGACACUACUAAACUGUCAUAACUUGAAAACUGUGUCAUCUGUGAAAUAACACAUGCCCCAGUUUAUAUUGCACUGUUUAGAUUAAA